UGAUCCUGGCUCAGGACGAACGCUGGCGGUGCGCCUUAUGCAUGCAAGUUGAGCGAAGCUUUUCAGUAGUUUACUACAGAAAAUGACUGAGCGGCGAACGGGUGAGUAACGCGUGAGCAAUCUACCUUAGUUACUGGGAUAGCCCGAGGAAACUCGGAUUAAUACCGGAUAUUCUUAUUUUUUCACAUGAAGUUUUAAGGAAAGGUCAGCCGAACUAAGAUGAGCUCGCGUUCUAUCAGCUAGUUGGUGGGGUAAAAGCCUACCAAGGCAACGACGGAUAGCUGGUCUGAGAGGACGAUCAGCCACACUGGGACUGAGACACGGCCCAGACUCCUACGGGAGGCUGCAGCAGGGAAUAUUGUGCAAUGAGCGAAAGCUUGACACAGCGACACCGCGUGUGGGAUGACGGUUCUAGGAUUGUAAACCACUUUCAGGAGGGAAGAAAAUGACGGUACCUCCACAAGAAGACCCGGCCAACUAUGUGCCAGCAGCCGCGGUAAUACAUAGGGGUCAAGCGUUGUCCGGAUUUAUUGGGCGUAAAGAGCUCGUAGGCGGUUCAACAAGUCGGUCGUAAAAGUUUAGGGCUCAACCCUAAAAUGUCGAUCGAUACUGUUGUGACUAGGAUACGGUAGAGGUGAAUGGAAUUCCGAGUGUAGCGGUGAAAUGCGUAGAUAUUCGGAGGAACACCAAUUGCGAAGGCAGUUCACUGGACCGUGAUCGACGCUGAGGAGCGAAAGCUAGGGGAGCAAACAGGAUUAGAUACCCUGGUAGU
rnacentral:rRNA from 1 species